rnacentral:rRNA from 1 species
UAGGGAAUAUUGCACAAUGGGCGAAAGCCUGAUGCAGCAACGCCGCGUGCGCGAUGAAGGCCUUCGGGUCGUAAAGCGCUUUUCGGGGAGAUGAGGAAGGACAGUAUCCCCGGAAUAAGGCUCGGCUAACUACGUGCCAGCAGCCGCGGUAACACGUAGGAGCCAAGCGUUAAUCCGAAUUCACUGGGCGUAAAGCGCGUGCAGGCGGCUCGAUAAGUUGGAUGUGAAACGCUCCCGGCUCAACUGGGAGAGGACGUUCAAUACUGUCGGGCUAGAGGACGGCAGAGGAAGGUGGAAUUCCCGGUGUAGUGGUGAAAUGCGUAGAUAUCGGGAGGAACACCGAGUGGCGAAGGCGGCCUUCGUGGGCCGAACCUGACGCUCAGACGCGAAAGCUAGGGGAGC